CUGUCUUCUGUUCCCUGGUAUUGACAGAUUUCAGGUUUUCCUUUGGUGAAUUAGUGUGUGUGCGCAAAACUGACGCGCUGCCUGGUUCCCCUGACCUUGACUUAAUAUGCUUACUCAGUGCUCUGUCUGGAUUGAUUGACAGCUGGAGUACUUUUGGGUUUGCAACCUGCCAACUGCCAAUCAACCGAACUGGUGCCAACCAUAUGAUGACACAACCAUACAGACUGGGAACAUGCUCUCUGGUUAAAACAACUACACUAGCUAUGUUUCCAUUAGCGUGUUCCACAUUUAGAAAGUUCACAUAGAAAAUAGAUAUGACAGUUGCCUGCUAAGGUGCGUUUCCAUUGAACUAACUUGUGUCGAUAAAAACAGCUGGAUUUAAUGCCGUCACACCUAAAAAAAAAUGGUUUGUAGUGGUUGAUGUUUUCCCAUUACCCAUUUAGGCAAAUUGCGCAUUAGUAAAUUGGCGACAGCCUGUCGGCCCUCCCACAUAUCUGUUUCAUAUCUCAGGCAGUAAAAUUCCAUCUGAACUCAAAGUAGAUCAAAGGGAAAGGAAGAAAAGUUUACACUGCUGCGCUGUCAGGUCGUAAGCACUGGAGGGCCGCAGAGAUGGCACUGAAGCUCAUCAUGGCAGACUGCUGAAAAGUGGAGUGAGUGGCCUUGGAA
rnacentral:lncRNA from 1 species